UACAGAGGGUGCAAGCGUUGUCCGGAAUCAUUGGGCGUAAAGCGCGUGUAGGCGGCCCGGUAAGUCCGCUGUGAAAGUCCAGGGCUCAACCCUGGAAUGCCGGUGGAUACUGUCGGGCUCGAGUCCGGAAGAGGCGAGUGGAAUUCCUGGUGUAGCGGUGAAAUGCGCAGAUAUCAGGAGGAACACCGAUGGCGAAGGCAGCUCGCUGGGACGGUACUGACGCUGAGACGCGAAAGCGUGGGGAGCAAACAGG
rnacentral:rRNA from 1 species